GCGCCUUCCCCGGCGGCUAUGAUGGCUGGAGUGUUAGGGUGCAUCGAUGUCGUCGUGGGUCAGUUUGCGCCCACACCGGUGGCUAGAGUGGUCACCUACAUCCAGGAUUCGACAAUCGCACAGCCGAAAUGACUAAGGAGACCGAUAUGACAAAAAAGAAGGAAAGGACUGUCUCUGAAACAUCUAGUUCCAGUGGGUCGACAACUUCCGGCACGUCAGCGACAGCCUCUGCCGACCCGAACCGGCUGGCGAGCCGCCGGCCGUUCUCGACGCCGUCCGACCUGGCCGCCGUCAGCAAGGGCGCAGCCCGGCUGCUGUCGCGCCCGGCCAAGCGACCCAACUGAUGCUGCGACCAGUGCUGCUGCCACGUGCGCUGCAGUGUAGCCCUGAAAUACAGGCUUGAGCAAG